AACGAACGCUGGCGGCAGGCUUAACACAUGCAAGUCGAGCGCCCCGCAAGGGGAGCGGCAGACGGGUGAGUACCGCGUGGGCACGUACCUUUUGGUUCGGAACAACUCCGGGAAACUGGAGCUAAUACCGGAUAAGCCCUAACGGGGAAAGAUUUAUCGCCGAAAGAUCGGCCCGCGUCUGAUUAGCUAGUUGGUGAGGUAACGGCUCACCAAGGCGACGAUCAGUAGCUGGUCUGAGAGGAUGAUCAGCCACACUGGGACUGAGACACGGCCCAGACUCCUACGGGAGGCAGCAGUGGGGAAUAUUGGACAAUGGGCGCAAGCCUGAUCCAGCCAUGCCGCGUGAGUGAUGAAGGCCUUAGGGUUGUAAAGCUCUUUUGUCCGGGAAGAUAAUGACUGUACCGGAAGAAUAAGCCCCGGCUAACUUCGUG
rnacentral:rRNA from 1 species